CCUACGGGAGGCAGCAGUGGGGAAUUUUGGACAAUGGGCGCAAGCCUGAUCCAGCAAUGCCGCGUGAGUGAAGAAGGCCUUCGGGUUGUAAAGCUCUUUUGUCAGGGAAGAAACGGUGGGAGCUAAUAUCUCUUGCUAAUGACGGUACCUGAAGAAUAAGCACCGGCUAACUACGUGCCAGCAGCCGCGGUAAUACGUAGGGUGCAAGCGUUAAUCGGAAUUACUGGGCGUAAAGCGUGCGCAGGCGGUUUUGUAAGUUUGUCGUGAAAUCCCCGGGCCCAACCUGGGAAUGGCGAUGAAGACUGCAAGGCUAGAAUCUGGCAGAGGGGGGUAGAAUUCCACGUGUAGCAGUGAAAUGCGUAGAGAUGUGGAGGAGCACCGAUGGCGAAGGCAGCCCCCUGGGUCAAGAUUGACGCUCAUGCACGAAAGCGUGGGGAGCAAACAGGAUUAGAUACCCUGGUAGUCCACGCCCUAAACGAUGUCUACUAGUUGUCGGGUUUUAAUUAACUUGGUAACGCAGCUAACGCGUGAAGUAGACCGCCUGGGGAGUCGGUCGCAAGNUUAAAACUCAAAGGAAUUGACGGNNGNGAGNGCGAGACGACGACGAGGGAGGAGG
rnacentral:rRNA from 1 species